rnacentral:lncRNA from 1 species
CUUCUUAUCCGGGCACAAUGGUAAUGUUACCCUGUCCUCGGAGCACAUUUGAUCGGCAAGCAAGAUCGGCUUGUGGAAACCACAAACUACACCCAGGAAGAGGCCACUGAGCCCUGAAAGCCGGUGGCCCUGAAAAGCCCCCUCCAGCCAGCAGUACCGCAAAGGGAACGAAAAAUCGAGGUCAACUUGAAACCGACAGCGGAGCUCUGGGAAGGUGGGGGGGGGGGUGCCCAAGCAGGGUUUCUCCAACCUGGAACGUUUCCCAGAAGACAAGGGAGUAAUCCAUCUGGAAAAGGAUUCAGAGGUCUGUUGUGAUCUUGACAAGGUCCUUCCCCUUUCUGGAACCGGGCUGCCCCAUCUUUGAAACGGAUACCGUCCUUCGGAAGUUUUCUCAGAAGCGUGACACGGAGGAGCUCCUUAGCGAGUGGAAAUACG